rnacentral:rRNA from 1 species
AUUGAACGCUGGCGGCAGGCCUAACACAUGCAAGUCGAACGGUAGCACAGAGAGCUUGCUCUCGGGUGACGAGUGGCGGACGGGUGAGUAAUGUCUGGGAAACUGCCUGAUGGAGGGGGAUAACUACUGGAAACGGUAGCUAAUACCGCAUAAUGUCGCAAGACCAAAGAGGGGGACCUUCGGGCCUCUUGCCAUCGGAUGUGCCCAGAUGGGAUUAGCUUGUUGGUGAGGUAAAGGCUCACCAAGGCGACGAUCCCUAGCUGGUCUGAGAGGAUGACCAGCCACACUGGAACUGAGACGCGGUCCAGACUCCUACGGGAGGCAGCAGUGGGGAAUAUUGCCCAAUGGGCGCAAGCCUGAUGCAGCCAGGCCGCGUGUGUGAAGAAGGCCUUCGGGUUGUAAAGCACUUUCAGCGGGGAGGAAGGCGGUGAGUUUAAUAAGCUCACCGAUUGACGUUACCCGCAGAAGAAGCACCGGCUAACUCCGUGCCAGCCGCCGCCGUAA